CUCCCCAUUCGACCCGUC
rnacentral:snRNA from 1 species